CUUUUUGCAACCAUGUGCUUAAUGGAGUCUUGUGUCUGUCCUGGGAGAUAAUUGAAUUACUCUCCAGGAUAGAAGACUCUGAAACUGGUUUGGGCCAGAAAGCCAUGCUUCAUUUAGUCACAAAGGACUUUCCCUUAACUUUUGAACCCCUAGUCUGAUUCGUGCCAUUUUUUAAUAUGUUGUUCCCCUGAAUGGAUUGAUUGUGAAUAUGUAAUUUUAUGUGAAUGUGAUGUAUGGUUUUAGAGUUAUGAAAGUUGGGUAGAAAGUAUGUUUUAACUGUAUGUGUAAUUGAGUUUCCUCUCAGGAUAAGGGGAGGGAAUGUGUGGGAUGUAACUGUGAUGUGAUUGGUUGUUUUAUACCUCCCUGUGGGCGGUCCUGUAUUUGCAAGACUGUAAUAAAAACCAGGCUGGGUGUGCCAGCACCUGAGACCACUGCUUGACCCUCAACACGGAGCCUUGUCUCGUUCUUGGGGGGAUUCACUGUAUGCUGUUAGAG